UACGGAGGGUGCAAGCGUUAUCCGGAUUUACUGGGUUUAAAGGGUGCGUAGGUGGGUUGGUAAGUCAGUGGUGAAAUACUUUCGCUUAACGAAGGAACUGCCAUUGAUACUACCAGUCUUGAAUACAGUGGAGGUAGGCGGAAUGCGUCAUGUAGCGGUGAAAUGCGCAGAUAUCAGGAGGAACACCGGUGGCGAAGGCGGGACUCUGGGCCACUACUGACGCUGAGAAGCGAAAGCAUGGGGAGCGAACAGG
rnacentral:rRNA from 1 species